rnacentral:tmRNA from 1 species
GGGGGUGACUGGCUUCGACAAGGAAAUCGACAUAUGUGUGCGCGGGCAACGCUGUAGCUGCGUUUCAAACCGCUACACAAAUUCAAGUGCGAACAAAGUAGCACGUGCAGUUUUGUCGCCCAUUCAGUUGGGUGACCUGCAGUUCGCUUACGCGAAAGCCUAAGCGACCGUCCACUAGGCUGAUACUUGAUUAAGCCUUCUUGGGCGUCACUUCAUUCAAGCACUGAGUGUCGAAUAGUCCGAUCGACCUCUAAGACUAGGACUCGGCUUUGCGCGAUUCUGUUCGUCCCUUACGCGCAUCGCUUAAAUCUUGAGACGAUCUACGCCUCGUAGAUACAUACAUACUGUUUUUCCUUGGACUCGGGUCCGAUACCCGACACCUCCACCA